UGCAUAAUGGAUUUUUCAAGACAGCGUCACAGAAAAGUUGAUUCAAGAAAUUAUAUCGGCAGAAAAAAAGACCUAAAUUUUGUUCUGCUAAUAAAAAAAAUAAAAAGUUCUUCUGCCCGUAAACUGUCGUCUCUUUGAUAUGAGACUUUUGUUUACAUUCUUAGAGAACAAUUUGAUGUGUAAAUGUGGUGGAAAUAUAAAAUUUUAUGAAAUAAAAUGUCAUGGAUUAGGUGUCAAUCAUUCUAUUACGUGUGAUAAGUAUGUACAUGAGAAAAAUUUUCACAACUGUAAAAAAAUUGAACAAAAAUCAAAUAUUUUUGAAAUCAAUAGACGCAGUGUCCAAAUCAUGAGACUGGUUGGUGGUGGCCUUGAAAGUUUGAGAACUUUUUGUGGAGUAAUGGACUUUCCUCGUCCAAUUCAGAAUGCAACUUUUACUAAAAUACGUAAUGUGCUUUUUGAAGUUACAUCAAGAGUUGCGGAUAAGUUUAUGUAUGAAGCUGUAGACGAAGAACUUCGACUUACACGUGCCAAUUCACAAAAUGAGAUAUGUGAACCCGAAAGUGUUAAUCCAGAAGCUAUUAGUGAACUGAGUAUUGAAGAUUUAGAUGAAAACAUGUUAGAUGAUGAAUCAGAUGAUACGAAUACUCCAGAUGAAGUCGUAGCUUGUAAACGAGAAAUAGGUGUUCAAGGUGAUGGUACAUGGCAGCGUCGAGAUACUACAAUGGAGUUUUUAUAAUCUUGAGUCCAGAAAGUGGAAAGAUUAUUGAUUUAGAAGUUCUUUUUUCUUACAGUUUACAAUGCAACCAGUAUGAAAAAGUCCAUGGAUCAGAAGGUACUAAACAAUGAAAAAUUUUGUACAGCGCACACUUACCAUCAUGUACAAAAAACCAUUGGGGUUCUUCUGGGUCAAUGGAGUCUUCAGCGAUUGUGGAUAUUUUGGAUGGAAAAACUCAGAAUGCUAAUGUGUCCUUUAAUAAUGAUUUGUGGAAUAUUGCUCCUAAAACGGACUUUGUUGGACUUGAGACUCUACAAAUAUCUGCCUUCUUAGCUUGUAUAAUGUUUUCAAGUGGCUGGAAAGGAUUACUGUAUCUUAUGUCAGAGUUGAAUAUCAAGCCUGGCAAAAAUGCAUUAUUCGCUGCAGUAACAAAAGAUCAAGCACGUAUCAAAGAUGCUGAAAAACAAGCAAAGUGUAAUACAAAAGAGGCAAGAAAAUUGAGAAGACUGUUACGCAUUUCAACUGUUGAUGAUGGUGCAUAUGUCAGUGGCGGACACUAAAAUGUUAUUUGUAAUCAAAUUGUAUAAACAGUAUACAGUAUACACAGUAAUAUAGUAUAACCUAUAAACAGUUUUACAGAACUGCAGUUACAUUAUUAAAUACAGGUUAUGAUCUACUAAAGUUAAAGUAUAGUGCUAGAACUCCAAAUAAAUGUAAAAAAGUAGUAGAACAACAUAUUGUAAUAUAUUUAAUACAGAAUUA